UACGUAGGGGGCAAGCGUUGUCCGGAUUUAUUGGGCGUAAAGAGCGUGUAGGCGGCUUUACAGGUCCGUUGUGAAAACUCGAGGCUCAACCUCGAGACGCCGGUGGAAACCGUAAAGCUAGAGUCCGGAAGAGGAGAGUAGAAUUCCUGGUGUAGCGGUGAAAUGCGCAGAUAUCAGGAGGAACACCCGUGGCGAAAGCGGCUCUCUGGGACGGUACUGACGCUGAGACGCGAAAGCGUGGGGAGCAAACAGG
rnacentral:rRNA from 1 species